rnacentral:rRNA from 1 species
CCUACGGGAGGCAGCAGUGAGGAAUAUUGGUCAAUGGCCGGAAGGCUGAACCAGCCAUGCCGCGUGAAGGUCAGUGCCCUAUGGGCGUUAAACUUCUUUUGUGCGGGAGCAAUAAUGGUCACGUGUGGCCAGACGAGAGUACCGUACGAAUAAGCAUUGGCUAACUCCGUGCCAGCAGCCGCGGUAAUACGGGGGAUGCAAGCGUUAUCCGGAUUUAUUGGGUUUAAAGGGUGCGUAGGCUGUGAGGUAAGUCAGCGGUCAAAUUCCCCGGCUCAACGGGGUGAAGUGCCAUUGAUACUGCCUUGCUAGAAUGCGGAUGCCGUAGGAGGAAUGUGUGGUGUAGCGGUGAAAUGCAUAGAUAUCACGCAGAACACCGAUUGCGAAGGCAGCUCACGGGUCCGCGAUUGACGCUGAUGCACGAAAGCGUGGGUAUCAAACAGGAUUAGAUACCCUGGUAGUC